GAGGGUCUCGCGGCCUAUCAGCUAGUUGGCGGGGUAAUGGCCCACCAAGGCGACGACGGGUAGCUGGUCUGAGAGGAUGAUCAGCCACACUGGGACUGAGACACGGCCCAGACUCCUACGGGAGGCAGCAGUGGGGAAUAUUGGACAAUGGGGGCAACCCUGACCCAGCAAUGCCGCGUGAGUGAGGAAGGCCUUCGGGUUGUAAAGCCCUUUCGGCGGGGACGAUGAUGACGGUACCCGCAGAAGAAGCCCCGGCUAACUUCGUGCCAGCAGCCGCGGUAAUACGAAGGGGGCGAGCGUUGUUCGGAUUUACUGGGCGUAAAGGGCGCGCAGGCGGUUAUCCAAGUCAGGCGUGAAAGCCCCGGGCUCAACCUGGGAGGUGCGUCUGGGACUGGAUGACUGGAGGUCGGGAGAGGAGCGUGGAAUUCCCAGUGUAGAGGUGAAAUUCGUAGAUAUUGGGAAG
rnacentral:rRNA from 1 species